GAUUUGGACAUGGGCGCAAGCCUGNUCCAGCAAUGCCGCGUGAGUGAUGAAGGCCUUCGGGUUGUAAAGCUCUUUCGCCCGCGACGAUGAUGACGGUAGCGGGAGAAGAAGCCCCGGCUAACUUCGUGCCAGCAGCCGCGGUAAUACGAAGGGGGCGAGCGUUGUUCGGAUUUACUNGGGCGUAAAGGGCGCNGUAGGCGGCGCGGUAAGUCAGGCGUGAAAGCCCCGGGCUCAACCUGGGAAUGGCGCUUGGGACUACCGUGCUGGAGUUCGGGAGAGGAGCGCGGAAUUCCCAGUGUAGAGGUGAAAUUCGUAGAUAUUGGGAAGAACACCGGUGGCGAAGGCGGCGCUCUGGACCGAUACUGACGCUGAGGCGCGAAAGCGUGGGGAGCAAACAGGAUUAGAUACCCUGGUAGUCCACGCGGUAAACGAUGUGUGCUAGACGUUGGGGAGCCUAGCUCUUCGGUGUCGCCGCAAACGCUUUAAGCACACCGCCUGGGGAGUACGGCCGCAAGGUUGAAACUCAAAAAAAUUGACGGA
rnacentral:rRNA from 1 species